rnacentral:rRNA from 1 species
CUGUGCAAAGGUAGCAUAAUCAUUAGUUUUUUAAUUGGAAGCUGGAAUGAAGGGUUGGAUAAGAGAAAUUCUGUCUUAAUUUUAAUAUUAUAAUUUUAUUUUUAAGUUAAAAAGCUUAAAUUUUUUAAAAAGACGAGAAGACCCUAUAGAGUUUAAUUUAGUUGGUUGUAUACUAUAUUGGGGUUUAAUUUUAUUAUAUAAUUAAAGUAAUUUUAUUGGGGUGAUGUAAAAAUUUAUUUAACUUUUUAUUUAUUUAUACAUUAAUUAGUGAAUAUUUGAUCUUAAUUUUUGGAUUAGAAGAAUAAAUUACCUUAGGGAUAACAGCGUAAUUUUUUUUAGAGUUCUUAUUGAAAAAAAAGUUUGCGACCUCGAUGUUGGAUUAAAGUUAAAUUUUGGUGUAGAAGCUAUAAGUUUAGGUCUGUUCGACCUUUAAAACU